GCAUUUCCCUGGUUACUAAGGCAGCAGUUUAACAUUAACUGGAGGAUGAGCUUUUAGAGAUCACACAAAGGGAGUAUAAUUCCUGCUGAUAAUCUACAACAUUGACUUGUACAUGGGAAGGCAAACAUUUGUUAGAAAUUCUUUCUGCUACCUUUGAUCGGAAUGAAAGAAAAAAAAUCAAGAGAUAUUAAAAUCAACUACAAAGGCAAAGGAACCUGUCUUUUCAGAAUCACCAAUUACAACAUGGUUAUUGAUAUCAUGGAAGGAUCUAAAUUGGCUCUUUUUGCAUAGUAGGUAAAAACUAAGGAAGAAAAUCGUG
rnacentral:lncRNA from 1 species